GAUGAAGAACGCAGCGAAAUGCGAUAAGUAAUGUGAAUUGCAGAAUUCAGUGAAUCAUCGAAUCUUUGAACGCACAUUGCGCCCGCUAGUAUUCUGGCGGGCAUGCCUGUUCGAGCGUCAUUUCAACCAUCAAGCCCUGUUUAGGCUUGUGUUGGGGCCCUGCGGCUGCCGCAGCCCCCUAAAUGCAGUGGCGGGCUCGUUGUCACUCCGAGCGCAGUAGCGUAUCUCGCUCUGGGCGUGGCGGCGGGUUCCGGCCGUUAAAAAGCCUUCGUAACCCAAGGUUGACCUCGGAUCAGGUAGGAAGACCCGCUGAACUUAAGCAUAUCAAUAAGCGGAGGA
rnacentral:misc_RNA from 1 species